GUUUGUUUCGGUAUCUUCUUCCUGGGAAUUACAAUGAAAAUUAUGAAGGCCUUGUACCUGAAAACUCAAGGUGUGUAUUUGUUGGAUGUGUUGAGAAGUACGGCAUUAGUAGUAAGUGGUAUUACAUGAGGGGUAAUGGCAGCAGCUGUACUAAUGAAGUAAUAGCCUGGGUCCCAGAAACCUCAUCUUCAAUUUCUACAAGCAGUACAACUUUAGUUCCAGCAUCAUCUUCAAUUUCUGAAAAUUUGGGGGACAAAUUUAGCAUCAAAAAUUCUAUAAUAAAUGACACUGCGGCAGUUAUCUUUGGAGUUUUUAUUCAAGUGACUCUAUUACUCAUCAUUAGUUGUCUUAUUGUCAUUGCCUGUACAAGGAAGGCAUUUUCUACGAAUAAGUAAUGAGAAUUAUUACUUAAUAUAUUUCAUGUAGAAAUGUAAUCGUCGAGAUUGAAGAUUCUAAAGAAUUUGAAUUGAUACUACCAAGCGAGCACCUAAAUCACUCUCAUUCAUUGCAUACCAUCUGUGCUGAUCUAAACUUUAAGGAAACCUCAAACAUUGAU